rnacentral:rRNA from 1 species
AUUGAACGCUGGCGGCAGGCCUAACACAUGCAAGUCGAGCGAGCGGCGGACGGGUGAGUACUGUAUCGGGAUCUGCCCGCUAGAGGGGGGUAACUACUGGAAACGGUAGCUAAUACCGCAUCCUAUCGGAUGAACCCAUCUGGGAUUAGCUGGUAGGUGGGGUAAUGGCUCACCUAGGCGACGAUCCCUAGCUGGUCUGAGAGGAGGACCAGCCACACUGGAACUGAGACACGGUCCAGACGCCUACGGGAGGCAGCAGUGGGGAAUAGUGCACAAUGGGCGCAAGCCUGAUGCAGCCAUGCCGCGUGUGUGAAGAAGGCCUUCGGGUUGUAAAGCACUUUCAGCGAGGAGGCGUUACUCGCAGAAGAAGCACCGGCGAACUCCGUGCCAGCAGCCGCGGUAAUAC